CUGACUCCAAUGCUGUUGCUGGUGGGAGACUGGUAGAUGCUUGCUCCGUCGUUCUUGUUUUUAACUGUGUCAGGGAAAGUCCUCAAAGACAACAGUUCCUACUGAGAAGUCAUAACUCACUGGACUACUAAGCUAUAAGGGUUACAAAGUGUCCACUGAAAGAUUACCUAAUUCAACAGCCAACAUUAUGGAAAUGUCGUGCAAAAUGAGGAACUUUUUUCAAGACGGGCGGAAGAAGAGCGACUUUAGGAGAACCCGGACUGGAUGGAGAGUCUGGGACAUCCUCUGUGGAGACAAAAGACACCCAUCAAACUGGAUUCCUAAAGCAUAAGCUGGGUCAGUCUUUAAAUACAAAUGACUAAUAAUCUGUUAAAAAGCAUCACAGUUUUUCUGGCCAAAAAUUAGUUUCAUAGCCCAGUGAAGUAACAAACAAUAGAAAGAAAAAACU